UGUUAUUGAUUCAUUUCUUUUAUUUCUUCUCUGAGCUCUGAAAUGAAACCUAAAUAAUUUAGGGCUUAAUAGUUGAUCUCGUUUCAACCGAUUAUAUUCAAAGCUUUUCUACAGUAUUUGAUAUGAGAUCGCAAUCAGUUUUUGUUAUUCGAGAUCUCUAAAACUAAGACGAGUAUUCUAGAUCUUACUCUAUAUGGAAGAAUAGGAGGAAAAUGAAGCAUUUUAGUAAUAACCUUAAAUUUUCAUAUCAGGAUCUGAAUUUGGAAGAGGUGGAAGCCUUAUCAGUGGAUUUCUUGAAAAAAUCAAGCGAUUUACUCAACAGAAGAAACUAAUUAAUAAUGAUGGAUUUGAAACAACAAGAGAAAGUGAUGGGGAUGGAUAACAAGAAGAAUCGGUGCUUGCUGCACCGCCUUCAAUUUUAACGGAGUUACAACAGACUACAACAAGAUAUAGUGUGAAAUUUCAAUGCUUACUCAUUGGAGGAGGGCCAUCUGGUGCUGGACUUGCUGGUGAGCUUGAUGUUCAUUGGGGGAGGGCCAAGUGGUGUUAGACUUGCAGAUGAGAUUGCAGUUUCUACAAGAUAGGUGUAUUUUCUUGUACACCGGUUAUACGCGGUGCACAUAAAAGUGCACUGUUUCUUUUGUGCUUGAUAUACGAGGUGUAUAUGCUUGUACACCAAUUUGUAUCGAUGCAUCUUAGUCUCUAUUACCCAUCAAACAAAUUUGACUUUCAUCUAUUUUCAAUUUUCGAUCUCAUCUGAAUAUAUAUUUGCUUUGUGAAAUGUCUUGGGAUUUCUUACUUCCUAUCAGAUAUAAGGAUGCCUAUAUAACAGUUAGCUUGGACAGCUGAAGUAUUACGAAGCUGCGAAUAUAACUGUUAGCGGAGUGAUUGGAUUUUGUAUUAUCUCAGAGGAAUACAAUGUAGUACUGGAGUUUGUUUCCAAAGUACAUUAUCAACAAACCUUGGAAGUGCUUCUUUAGGGUCACUUUUUGUAUUGGUAAUUGAAUCCCUUCGCAUCAUAACAAGAGGUUUUAACUUCUUAGAAGAUGUGCUCAUUGUUUCCUUCGAGUUAUGGACUCCAUUUUUUUUUGUGACAGACUACAACAAGAUAUAGUUUGCAAUUUAAAUGCUUAAUCAUUAGAGGAGGGCCAACUGGUGAUAGACUUGUUGGUGAGCUUGAUGUUCAGUAGGGAAGGCCAAGUGGUGUUAGACUUGCUGGGUUGAGCGCCCCAAUCUCCAAGCUUUGUUGGAUGCUGUCAUAAGUUAACUGCAGAAGCAAUUGAUCAAGUGAGUGCAGUAUCGAUGUCUGUGCGUUGGAUGGUGCUGAAGGGCCACGAUGGAUGGAAGCAUGGGAAAUGCAUCUGAUUCCAUUUUUUUAAAAUUUUGGUGAAGUGAUGUGCGGACAAUCUCCUAUCCAAGAAUUGAUUUUCUAGGAAUUUACAGGGAAAUGAGUGGAGGCUUCACCGCAUCUUUUGGAGGUUAACUGCUAAACAAUCCUAUGCAAAUCCAUCCAUUAUGUGGCUAGAGCUUGGCGUGGUUGAUAUUUUUUCCAGCCUGUGCAGACUACAGUGGCACUAUCAUGAAUAUUGGGAUUUUUUGUAUUUUUGCAGAUGAGUACGUAGUUGUACACUAGUGUGAACUGAAAAAAUUUAAAAAUGAAAAUUAUAUAAUCAUAUGUGUACUUUUUUUUAUAGA